rnacentral:rRNA from 1 species
GACGAACGCUGGCGGCGUGCUUAACACAUGCAAGUCGAACGGAAAGGCCCUGCUUUUGUGGGCUGCUCGAGUGGCGAACGGGUGAGUAACACGUGAGUAACCUGCCCUUGACUUUGGGAUAACUUCAGGAACCUGGGGCUAAUCCCGGAUAGUAGCUCCUGCUGCAUGGUGGGGGUUGGAAAGUUUCGGCGGUUGGGGAUGGACUCGCGGCUUAUCAGCUUGUUGGUGGGGUAGUGGCUUACCAAGGCUUUGACGGGUAGCCGGCCUGAGAGGGUGACCGGCCACAUUGGGACGGAGAUACGGCCCAGACUCCUACGGGAGGCAGCAGUGGGGAAUAGUGCACAAUGGGCGGAAGCCUGAUGCAGCAACGCCGCGUGCGGGAUGACGGCCUUCGGGUUGUAAACCGCUUUCGCCUGUGACGAAGCGUGAGUGACGGUAAUGGGUAAAGAAGCACCGGCUAACUACGUG